GACCUGUAUCUCGAACUGUUACCGGAUGGUGGCGUGUCGGGAACUACCCGUCUAGAGACGUGGUCGGAA
rfam:Candidatus Woesebacteria bacterium RBG_16_42_24 RBG_16_scaffold_1, whole genome shotgun sequence.